UUAUGGAAAUAACAAUAGCAAAAAAUUCUAUAACAUACAAAUUGCAAAGAUCUGUAUGCAGCAAAUUUUUCAGCUUAAAUUUAACAGUAGAAACUGAUUUUAUCAGAUGACAGCAGUGGUUGUUAUUCAUAGUUGAAAAAGACAGAAAUAUUUCUAUGAUUUUUCUAUGGUUGAUUUUUUAACAAACAUUGAAUUCAGAAUCAAUACUAUCUUUAUUUAGUACAGUUUAAGUAUCGGCAAUUUUUGUAUUUGGAACACUUUUCAGAUGCUUGUGUUUCUGGUAACUCAGCAAAUUCUAGAAUAUUCCAUUUCAGCAACUCUGUUGGAGUCUCACAUACUUUAAACUUGAAGACGCCAUUUUCUUCAUUGAAGCAGUAUACAGCAGAAUUAGGAGCACUCUUCUCUGUUGGAUAUAAAAUAGUUGUAUUGAUUUUUUUUACUUUAUUCUUAUUUUGGAUUUUGUAUAUUGUAUGUUACCAUGUCUCUGUUUUAAGUUUCAGCAAGUGUUAUAUGGAAAUUUAAAAUUUCAACGUUCGAAUGGGAGGAUGACUUUAGAAAAUGUGAGGCAGUAUAUAGCUUGUUUAUUUUACAUCUAUGUGAGAUACAGCGGCUGUUUUGAGAUUUUUUAAAGAAAACAGGACUCAUAAAGAGAAAAUUCAUAUGUGAGAAGUGUGAUUCUGAAAUGAAAUUUAAGGUUAAAAAAGUCAGAUGGUUUUAUGUAGGUUUGUAGGAAAUAAUGGCAGGCAAGGAAUGUGGAACUCAAAAUGUUGCAAACUGAAGUAAGCUGAAGUUAGAUACAAUGAUACCCACUCCUAGAAUACAUCAGAAUUAGAGGUUAGUCUUUAGUCUGCAAUGUGAAAGAAUGCUUGGCUGUUGAGUCUGUCCUUGUUUGUGUUUCAUGUGCUUCCAUGUUUUUCAGAAUGGCUUUUGUCUUCCUGGACUUUGCAAAACAUCAUGAAUCUAGUACAGUACAAAGUCCGAAAUACAGACUCCUCGGGACUUUGGCCAUUCCAGAUUUGGGAUUUUUCUGGAUCAUCAAUUUAAAUCUGGUUGGCAAAAAAUAGCUGUAAAUGAUUGGUGAUUUUGUAGGAGCUCUGGACAGAUAAAGCAAAGCUCUCAGAUAUAAUAUUUUCAUGUAAAAGUCUUACCACUUUCCCAUGGUAUUAACACUGCUAACCCAGUCAUCAUGGAUUAAACUAUUCUCCGGAGAAGGUGAUGGAUAUUUCACAAAGUACUCAAUUUCAAG